CUACGGGUUGCUGCAGUGGGGAAUCUUAGACAAUGGGCGCAAGCCUGAUCUAGCCAUGCCGCGUGAGUGACGAAGGCCUUAGGGUCGUAAAGCUCUUUCGCUGGGGAAGAUAAUGACGGUACCCAGUAAAGAAACCCCGGCUAACUCCGUGCCAGCAGCCGCGGUAAUACGGAGGGGGUUAGCGUUGUUCGGAAUUACUGGGCGUAAAGCGCGCGUAGGCGGAUCAGAAAGUUGGGGGUGAAAUCCCGGGGCUCAACCACGGAACUGCCUUCAAAACUCCUGGUCUUGAGUUCGAGAGAGGUGAGUGGAAUUCCGAGUGUAGAGGUGAAAUUCGUAGAUAUUCGGAGGAACACCAGUGGCGAAGGCGGCUCACUGGCUCGAUACUGACGCUGAGGUGCGAAAGCGUGGGGAGCAAACAGGAUUAGAUACCCGCGUAGUC
rnacentral:rRNA from 1 species